AGCUCCAAUAGCGUAUAUUAAAGUUGCUGCAGUUAAAAAGCUCGUAGUUGCAUUUCCGAGGCAAGGGAUUAGUCAGAGCUUUGGUGGGUAUUUAAUCCUCUUGCCUCGUCCUUGAGUGGUGCUUCUUGGUAUUAAGUUAUCGAGGAGAUAGCCGCUCAUCGUUUACUGUGAGAAAAUUAGAGUGUUCAAAGCAGGCUUAUGCCGUUGAAUAUAUUAGCAUGGAAUAAUAAGAUAGGACCUCGGUACUAUUUUGUUGGUUUGAGAACCAAGGUAAUGAUGAAUAGGGACAGUUGGGGGUAUUCGUAUUCAGUUGUCAGAGGUGAAAUUCUUAGAUUUACGGAAGACGAACUACUGCGAAAGCAUUUACCAAGGAUGUUUUCA
rnacentral:rRNA from 1 species